rnacentral:lncRNA from 1 species
CAUCAUCAGGUGGUUCUAAGCCGUUGGAUGGUGCUUGAUCUGCUUCUAUUUGAAUUCUCCCAACCGGCAACAACACUGACCAUUCGAUCAUGCAUGAAAAUAAAUUUGGGCCGUUCGAUGUCAUAAUCCCGCUCCGCUCCACACUCCUCUCUCGUGCAUCGUGAUAAAAAUCAAUGGAAACUAUUCCCAUGGACUGCAUG